rnacentral:lncRNA from 1 species
UAAGAAGCACAGGCAACCCAUUGCCACCCGUCCAAUAGUAGAAAAAAUAAAAGCGCCUACAUAACAAGUUGGAGAAAGCAAUAGCAAGCUGGAUAAUGGAAACCAUUGGAAGUAUGCCCCACUCAGCACUCUCAAUGCAGCAGGUCCUCAACAGAUUAAAAGUACAAUGGUCCCUGGAGAAUACAUUAACAUCCUAUGACUUUGAGAGUUUAUACCUGGCACUGAAGAUAGAACCGGUGAGUCUUGCUCUUUAUAGAUUUUUGCUGGACAAUUUGCCACAAAGCAAUGAUAGCCCACAACUAUACUGAGAGUAAGUCACAAUUCUGUGUCACAAUUUCUACUUUACAUACAGAGGAGAGUAUUACAGGCAAACAAUAGGCAUCCCCAUCUCAAUUUAAACAAAUUUAUUUGAAAAUUUUCUAGAAAUUUAAUAAUAUUUAGAAUGAAAAAUUUUAAGGUUAGAUUAUACUUUUAAAUUAGCAUAGUUUAUUAAUUAAUGUCUAUUAGAAUCAUGGAAAAUCUAUUAUUACUACUAACAAAUUAAAUAACAUUAUAUGUUAAUAAGCAUUAUAAAUAUUAAAUACAAACACUAUAUGCAGUAAUGAAAAUUUAUUCUAAAAUGUUUUUGAUUCAUAUUGGAUCCUUCUCAGCUUCUAAUGGAAC